GACGAACGCUGGCUGCGUGCUUAACACAUGCAAGUCGAACGAAGAGCGAUGGAAGCUUGCUUCUAUCAAUCUUAGUGUCGAACGGGUGAGUAACGCGUAAUCAACCUGCCCUUCAGAGGGGGACAACAGUUGGAAACGCCUGCUAAUACCGCAUACGAUCUAAACUCGGCAUCGAGGAUAGAUGAAAGGUGGCCUCUACAUGUAAGCUAUCACUGAAGGAGGGGAUUGCGUCUGAUUAGCUAGUUGGAGGGGUACCGGCCCACCAAGGCGAUGAUCAGUAGCCGGUCUGAGAGGAUGAACGGCCACAUUGGGACUGAGACACGGCCCAGACUCCUACGGGAGGCAGCAGUGGGGAAUCUUCCGCAAUGGACGAAAGUCUGACGGAGCAACGCCGCGUGAGUGAUGACGGCCUUCGGGUUGUAAAGCUCUGUUAAUCGGGACGAAAGGCCUUCUUGCGAAUAGUGAGAAGGAUUGACGGUACCGGAAUAGAAAGCCACGGCUAACUACGUG
rnacentral:rRNA from 1 species